AGUGAACGCUGGCGGUAGGCCUAACACAUGCAAGUCGAACGGCAGCCCAGUAAGAGCUUUCUCUUACGGGUGGCGAGUGGCGGGCGGGUGAGGAAUACAUCGGAAUCUACUUUUUCGUGGGGGAUAUCGUAGGGAAACUUACGCUAAUACCGCAUACGUCCUACGGGUGAAAGCAGGGGAGCUUCGGACCUUGCGCGAUUGAGUGAGCGGAUGUCGGAUGAGCUAGUUGGCGGCGUAAAGGCCCACCAAGGCGACGAUCCGUAGCUGGUAUGAGAGCAUGAUCCGGCACCCUGGAACAGAGACACAGUCGACACUCCUACGGUAGGCAGCAGUGCGGAAUAUUGCACGAUGGGCGCAAGCCUGAUCCAGCCAUACCGCGUGGAUGAAGAACGACUUCUGGUUGUAAAGCCAUUUUGUUGGGAAAGAAAAGCAGCAGGUUAAUCCCCCGCUGUUCUGACGGUACCCAAAGAAUAAGCACCGGCUAACUUCGUG
rnacentral:rRNA from 1 species